UAAAUGAAAGCCAAAAAUAAGAGGUGCCUAGCUGUUAAUUAGGAGAUUGUAAUAUAAUUACUCAUUUAG
rnacentral:tRNA from 1 species